UACCAGUACCCCGAGUGGUCGGGACGUUUAUUGGGCCUAAAGCAUCCGUAGCCGGUUCUACGAGUCUUCCGUUAAAUCCAACUGCUUAACAGGUGGGCUGCGGAAGAUACUAUAGAGCUAGGAGGCGGGAGAGGCAAGCGGUACUCGAUGGGUAGGGGUAAAAUCCGUUGAUCCAUUGAAGACCACCAGUGGCGAAGGCGGCUUGCCAGAACGCGCUCGACGGUGAGGGAUGAAAGCUGGGGGAGCAAACCGG
rnacentral:rRNA from 1 species